rnacentral:misc_RNA from 1 species
GAACGCACAUUGCACCCGCCAGCACUCUGGCGGGUAUGCCUGUUCGAGCGUCAUUUCGACCCUCAAGCGCUAGCUUGUUGUUGGAGCGCCUCGGUCUAGCACCGAGCGCCCCGAAUCGCAGUGGCGGAGCCGCCGUGGACUCUGAGCGCAGUACUUAACGACGCUCCUGGGCCCCGGCGGUGCCGGCCGUGAAAACGAACCAAACAUUUGUCUUGACCUCGGAUCAGGUAGGGAUACCCGCUGAACUUAAG